rnacentral:snRNA from 1 species
GUGCUCGCUUUGGCAGCACAUAUACUA